UACGGAGGGUGCAAGCGUUAUCCGGAAUCACUGGGUUUAAAGGGUGCGUAGGCGGUUUGAUAAGUCAGUUGUGAAAUUCCCCGGCUUAACCGGGCGGACUGCGAUUGAUACUGUUAGACUUGAAUCAGGUUGAGGUAGGCGGAAUGUGACAUGUAGCGGUGAAAUGCUUAGAUAUGUCAUAGAACACCGAUUGCGAAGGCAGCUUGCUAGACCUGGAUUGACGCUGAGGCACGAAAGCGUGGGGAGCAAACAGG
rnacentral:rRNA from 1 species